GAGUUUGAUCUUGGCUCAGAUUGAACGCUGGCGGCAUGCCUUACACAUGCAAGUCGAACGGCAGCACGGGAGCUUGCUCCUGGUGGCGAGUGGCGAACGGGUGAGUAAUGCAUCGGAACGUAUCCUGGAGUGGGGGAUAACGUAGCGAAAGUUACGCUAAUACCGCAUAUUCUGUGAGCAGGAAAGCGGGGGACCUUCGGGCCUCGCGCUCUUGGAGCGGCCGAUGUCGGAUUAGCUAGUUGGUGAGGUAAAGGCUCACCAAGGCGACGAUCCGUAGCAGGUCUGAGAGGAUGAUCUGCCACACUGGAACUGAGACACGGUCCAGACUCCUACGGGAGGCAGCAGUGGGGAAUUUUGGACAAUGGGGCAACCCUGAUCCAGCCAUGCCGCGUGAGUGAAGAAGGCC
rnacentral:rRNA from 2 species